rnacentral:misc_RNA from 1 species
GAUCAAGAACGCAGCGAAAUGCGAUACUUGGUGUGAAUUGCAGAAUCCCGUGAACCAUCGAGUCUUUGAACGCAAGUUGCGCCUCAAGCCAUUAGGUUGAGGGCACGUCUGCCUGGGCGUCACAUAUCGUUGCCUGAUGCCAGUUUCCUCGUGAUGGGUGACUGUGCAGGGCGAAUGAUGGCUUCCCGUGAGCAUUGUUGCCUCAUGGUUGGUUGAAAAUUGAGUCCUUGGUAGGGAGCGCCGUGAUAGAUGGUGGUUGAGUGACGAACGAGACCCAAUCAUGUGAGACCCCUACCGAAUUUGGCCUUCAUGACCCACAUGCGUCUUUGGAACGCUCAUGACGAGACCUCAGGUCAGGCGGGGCUACCCGCUGAGUUUAAGCAUAUCAAUAAGCGGAGGA